rnacentral:tRNA from 1 species
UCCCUGGUGGCUCAGAUGGUAAAGAAUCUGCCUGCAAAGCAGGAGACCUGGGUUCAAUCCCUGGGUUAGGAA